GCCAAGCGACGUGGUGGAGGUGGAUUGCACUAGCCAGUUUCGUCUUCCUUUGUUUCUUCUCUGGAAAAGAAAGGAAUACCUGCAGCCUUUUGCUACAGCAACUUUGAAUCAUCGAGAAGGCAGGAACCAAGCAUCACGCCUCUAGAGAGAGAGAAGAGGGAGCAGGAGGGGGGCGGGGGAGAGAGAGAGAGAGAGAGAGAGAGAGAGAGAGAGAGAGAGAGCGUCUUGGUGGGAAGUAGAGAUGCUGCGAUUGCCCAUUGGUGGGAAGGAGAUCAAUGGCCACUUCAUCCUCCCCCUCCUGGUUUCUCCUCUCCGGCCAGCUAGGAAACUGGGUGAAAGAAUCAGCAAUUUGUUCCGACGAUCGAGUAGGGUGCAGCUAGAGCUCCACCACUUAUUUCCCAAUGGAAGUGUUACAAUCGACAAUGGAUCAUGUACUCCAUAUGAGCUGUAUUUCUUUGAUGGAUUAAACUACUGAUGUCAGGACAAGAAUUCUACUAGUAAUACUCAAACUUUGAUACAUCUUUGUACAGACAGGUUAUGAAUAAUCUGUUAAAUGAUCCCCAUGUUUGUUGUGGCUCUCUACCACACUAUGGCACAAAACCCUUGAUGUUCAUCCUCUAUAACUGUUAUUCAUAUAUUAAAAUCUCGUGUUUUGUUGGUUUUCGUUGUACAAUUUAUACAAGCACCCUUAUAUAAGACUACAUUAUUAUAUAUGCUUCAUCUUUUGCGGCCUCAAUUGGAAUUAUAUAUAACAUUAAGAUGCAUAAGAUUUAGCCUACAACAUCCUCAUAUAAUGCGGUGAAUGCAUUAAAGAAUAUUUCUGGAGACACAGGUUUGCAUAGAUGGAAAAAACAAAACUAAGGUUCCUUCAACUGAAAAUUGACAGGCGAGUUACCUUGUCGAGGACCAGAUCCAUCGAUUAAACAAGUAGUGUAUGUUGGUGAUGAUCUCAUUAAUAUCCAACAUUUUAAUGAUGUGAAAUACUAAUGUCAUAUCUUUCAAUGAUGAAAGUAGGUAGAUUGCAUGAUUCUCAUAUAUUUGUAACUAUAUGAGCAAUCUAAGAUUGGAUCAAUGAAUGAUUUGAUUAUUGCCUUCCCAAUCUUUUUUGCAGGUGAUCUCCAGGAGCAAUUUGUUAUGCAAUUUUUUUAGUUGGAUUUUAAGUUGACCAUAGUAACAGUUUGAAAGGUCUGGAGCCCAUAUUUAUUAAGGCAGAAGAACAGAAGGGGGGCAAAAAUGGUGAUAGCAAACUACAAUAUAAUGUAUGUACAGAUAAGGAACGACAUCAGCUAUAUACAAUAUUGUAAUACGAGGGAGGCCCAACGCCCCUAUGCAGUCUCACACAAGCUUCAACUCUGAUGCUAAAUUCAACAGAUCAGAUAUAUAUAUGCAGGUAUUGCUAUUUUUCCAAAACACCCUGGAUGCUUUUUGAGCGAGUCUUCCGACAAAAUUCUGAGUUACCUGGGUAUCCCAGCGCUGGUGUUUUCAAGUGAGUGAGUUCAAGCCCUAAUGUGAAGGCAGAAACCAAGUGUUUCAAUUCUCCAUUAAUUUGGUGUAAAUACGUCUACUUAUAGCAGAUGCUGAACUGAUUCCAUCUCAAGAUCAAUAGGUCUGCAGCGAAGCACUUGUUUUGGAAGGGGAGCCAAAUGAAGAAUAACACAAAAUUACUGAGUAAUUAUUUGCUUCAAUUCAAUUCGGUGGCUGGCCCGAGCUCCGAUCCUCCAUUCUUUGGGUAGGCCGGCUAGCUGCAGAAUGAACAGUUCCCCGGCCGGUACCGUGUGCUGCAUGCUCAAUGUACGUAGUGAUCCUGAUGUACGUACGUAUUGCCUGUUGCACAGAUCAUACAAUUGCCUUGGUCGUCUUUUUUAAACACAAAGUACUCCGGAAUGACAAGACUAGAUACAUGUGCA